UGUGUUGUGAACUCGAAGAGUAGGGCGGGACACGUGGUAUCCUGUCUGAAUAUGGGGGGACCAUCCUCCAAGGCUAAAUACUCCUGACUGACCGAUAGUGAACCAGUACCGUGAGGGAAAGGCGAAAAGAACCCCGGCGAGGGGAGUGAAAAAGAACCUGAAACCGUGUACGUACAAGCAGUGGGAGCACCCUUUGGGGUGUGACUGCGUACCUUUUGUAUAAUGGGUCAGCGACUUAUAUUCUGUAGCAAGGUUAACCGAAUAGGGGAGCCGAAGGGAAACCGAGUCUUAACUGGGCGUUAAGUUGCAGGGUAUAGACCCGAAACCCGGUGAUCUAGCCAUGGGCAGGUUGAAGGUUGGGUAACACUAACUGGAGGACCGAACCGACUAAUGUUGAAAAAUUAGCGGAUGACUUGUGGCUGGGGGUGAAAGGCCAAUCAAACCGGGAGAUAGCUGGUUCUCCCCGAAAGCUAUUUAGGUAGCGCCUCGUGAAUUCAUCUUCGGGGGUAGAGCACUGUUUCGGCUAGGGGGUCAUCCCGACUUACCAACCCGAUGCAAACUGCGAAUACCGAAGAAUGUUAUCACGGGAGACACACGGCGGGUGCUAACGUCCGUCGUGAAGAGGGAAACAACCCAGACCGCCAGCUAAGGUCCCAAAGUCAUGGUUAAGUGGGAAACGAUGUGGGAAGGCACAGACAGCCAGGAUGUUGGCUUAGAAGCAGCCAUCAUUUAAAGAAAGCGUAAUAGCUCACUGGUCGAGUCGGCCUGCGCGGAAGAUGUAACGGGGCUAAACCAUGCACCGAAGCUGCGGCAGCGACACUAUGUGUUGUUGGGUAGGGGAGCGUU
rnacentral:rRNA from 1 species